AACCAAGUAACAAUAAAAU
rnacentral:miRNA from 1 species